AUAUAUAUAAAUACUUAUUAAUUUGCAGGGUUUCCCGGUUUGGCUGGGUGGCCUUUUGAAUCCAGAAGCUUAUAUAACUGCUACAAGACAGUGUGUCGCCCAAGCAAACAGCUGGCCUCUUGAAGAAUUGCAAUUGGACGUAACCAUCACCGACUCCUCAAGCGAAAAGAAAAAUGUUCCGAGUGAUUGUUUUGCCGUUACAGGCAUAAAACUUCAGGGUGCCCAAUGCCGUAAUAAUCAGCUUCUAUUGACCUCCAGCAUUAUGAUAGAGCUCCCUCUCACGCUCUUACGAUGGGUAAGGGUCGUAGGUGACGAAAAAGUAUCUUGCGACCGUCUAGCCCUCCCAGUGUACUUAAACUCCACCCGUACUGAACUGCUUUUCACAGUUGACUUAAACAUUGCUGCUGGACAAGAUCCUCAUAGCUUUUACGAGAGGGGAGUCGCCUUACUGACUUCAACUGCUCUCAAUUAAAAGGGCGAACUUACUUGAAGU
rnacentral:lncRNA from 1 species